GUACUUAGAGUUUUAAUUUUGGGCCCAGUUUUCAAGUUGGUCCAAAUCCGGAUCCAAAAUUAGUUUAUGUUAAGUAUUGUGCAAUAGCAAGAAAUUUUCAAUUUGCACAGUAUUCAGCAAUGGCAAGAAAUCUUCAAUUGCACAGUAUUGUGCAAUAGCAAGAAAUUUUCAAUUGCACAGUAUUGCACAAUAGCAAGAAAUCUUCAAUUGCACAGUAUUGUGCAAUAGCAAGUAUUUUCAAUUGCACAGUAUUGCACAAUAGCAAGAAAUAUCUAAUUGCACAAUAUUGCGCAAUAGCAAGA
rnacentral:lncRNA from 1 species